UACGGGGGGGGCAAGCGUUGUUCGGAAUUACUGGGCGUAAAGCGCGCGUAGGCGGCUUUGUAAGUUAGAGGUGAAAGCCCGGGGCUCAACUCCGGAAUUGCCUUUAAGACUGCAUCGCUAGAAUUGUGGAGAGGUAAGUGGAAUUCCGAGUGUAGAGGUGAAAUUCGUAGAUAUUCGCAAGAACACCAGUGGCGAAGGCGGCUCACUGGCCCGGUACUGACGCUGAGGUGCGAAAGCGUGGGGAGCAAACAGG
rnacentral:rRNA from 1 species